rnacentral:rRNA from 1 species
ACGGGGUGCAGCAGGCGCGAAACCUCCGCAAUGUGAGAAAUCGCGACGGGGGGAUCCCAAGUGCCAUUCUUAACGGGAUGGCUUUUCAUUAGUGUAAAGAGCUUUUGGAAUAAGGGCUGGGCAAGACCGGUGCCAGCCGCCGCGGUAACACCGGCAGCUCUAGUGGUAGCAGUUUUUAUUGGGCCUAAAGCGUCCGUAGCCGGUUUAAUAAGUCUCUGGUGAAAUCCUGUAGCUUAACUGUGGGAAUUGCUGGAGAUACUAUUAGACUUGAGACCGGGAGAGGUUAGAGGUACUCCCAGGGUAGAGGUGAAAUUCUGUAAUCCUGGGAGGACCGCCUGUUGCGAAGGCGUCUAACUGGAACGGUUCUGACGGUGAGGGACGAAAGUUAGGGGCGCGAACCGGAUUAGAUACCCGGGUAGUCCUAACGUUAAACGAUGCGGACUUGGUGUCGGGGUGGGCUUUUGAGCUUGCUCCCAGUGCCGAAGGGGAAGCUGUCUAAGUCCGCCGCCCUGCGAAGUAUGGUCGCCAAGACUGAAACUUAAAGGAAUUGGCGGGGGGAGCAC